GAUGAACGCUGGCGGCGUGCCUAAUACAUGCAAGUCGAGCGAACAGACGAGGAGCUUGCUCCUCUGACGUUAGCGGCGGACGGGUGAGUAACACGUGGAUAACCUACCUAUAAGACUGGGAUAACUUCGGGAAACCGGAGCUAAUACCGGAUAACAUGUUGAACCGCAUGGUUCAACAGUGAAAGACGGUCUUGCUGUCACUUAUAGAUGGAUCCGCGCCGCAUUAGCUAGUUGGUAAGGUAACGGCUUACCAAGGCAACGAUGCGUAGCCGACCUGAGAGGGGUAUCGGCCACAUGGGAACUGAGAACGGGUCCAGACCCCAAGGGGGGGAAGCGGUGGGGAAUUUUCCGAAAGGGGCGAAAGCCGGAGGGAGCAACGCCGGGGGAGUGAAGAAGGUCUUCGGAUUGUAAAACCCUGUUAUUGGGGAAGAAAAAAUGUGUAAGUAACUAUGCCCGUCUGGACGGUACCUAAUCAAAAAGCCCCGGCUAACUACGU
rnacentral:rRNA from 1 species